CCUUCGAUAGCUCAGAUGGUAGAGCGGAGGACUGUAGAUCCUUUGGUCGCCGGUUCAAUUCCGGCUCGAAGGA
rnacentral:tRNA from 1 species